rnacentral:rRNA from 1 species
CACGUAGGAGGCGAGCGUUGUCCGGAAUCAUUGGGCGUAAAGCGCACGUAGGCGGCUUUGUAAGUUAGAGGUGAAAGCCCGGGGCUCAACUCCGGAAUUGCCUUUAAGACUGCAUCGCUAGAAUUGUGGAGAGGUAAGUGGAAUUCCGAGUGUAGAGGUGAAAUUCGUAGAUAUUCGGAAGAACACCAGUGGCGAAGGCGACUUACUGGACACAUAUUGACGCUGAGGUGCGAAAGCGUGGGGAGCAAACA